CUAAAGUGCCUCUGUUUUGUGUUUGUUACCCUGGUCUGCAGCAGUGGCUUUAGGGCCUUCUGCCCUAAAAAUGUCCUGCAGGUUUGUUGGAGCCAGGACUUUCUUUCCUUCCUAGAUUUGGGCCCUGCUGCAUGCCUGGGAAGUGUGCAUUAUUUUAGGUGAAGCAAUGACAUUUUGGUGCAGUGAAAUCAAGGCAGAAAUUUGUUUGGAAGAGUCUGGGCUCGAUCAGCAGGUACAAGUAUAAAGCAUGCCCAGGGCCCUUCAACACCCAGCAAGGACUUCACGUGUCCAGCACGGGAGCUGUGCAAGUAUGCAUAGGAGCAUCGUUGUGCUCACAUCCAUCUGGUGAUGGCUUUCUGGAUGUGUGUGCACCAAAACCCGGGGGAACCUCUUUACAGGAGGAGAAACGAACAGCUCUCCGCUCAGCUGCUCCAGCAGAAGGCCCUGGGCAAUUGCUGUGCUGGAGAUCAAAGCUAUCUGAAAGCAGAGCAUCAAAGGCAGCUCUGCUGCUUGCACUGGAGGACACUUCUUCCAGCCUGGCUGAGCUGAAAAUUAAAAAAAAAAAAAAAAAGGAUAAAUUCUCAGUAGUACCUCAGGAAGGCUGUUGUUUCCCCAGGAAAAGAUGCCCCCAAACACCUUCUUGCCCUCCUGUUUCCCAUGUGAAUCAUGGGGAAAGGCUGUGCUGACAGAUGUGACUUCAGUGCUAAUCCCAGCCCUGGGCUGGUUCUGUCUUUCCCCAUCUCCCCUCUGAGAAAUGGGGAUAAUUGUACAAAACGUUGCAAAGUUCUUCAUUAAGCAGUCGACAAGUGCUGAAUGCUCUUAAUGAGAACGAGUUUUGGGUUUACUUGGGUGAUGUCCUGACCAACAUCCAUCUCAUUCUUCAGCCUACAGCAUGAUGGUUGUGGUGGGCAAGAAACCACUCGUGUAACACUUCAAAUUAGGAAAUCACCCUUCUUUCACUUAGGAAACCUCUGGUCACUGGCAAAGGGGGAUGCCAGAGGCUGACCUGCUCCUUCUUCUCUUGUCAGCCUCUACGUGCUGCUCAAACUCGUUUCCACCUGUGGAGAGGGGAAAACAUCACAAAAUCUGCAUGGGAUGGGUGAGCAACCACGUGCCCCUGGGCCAGGAGAGCUCAGAAAUCAGAGCCCACAGAGGCUGUUAUUGCUGGCAGCUGCAGUGAAGUGGAAGAGAUGUCCUACAUGGUGCUAUCAGUCACCAGGUGUGUCGCUUUUCAACACUUAAUGUCUGGAAGUUAGAGCCUUUCUCCGCUGAGUUUCCAGCCAUUGGUGUGUGAUUUUGGGUGCAAGGAAAGGAAUUAUAUUAGAGGUCUUGCAGGUGAGCUUCCCUCCCUCCAGCCACAUGUCUCAGUGGCAAUGAAUCUUUGUGAAUGUCAUCUUCCUUGGCUGCAGACCUUGCUCCAGCCAGGAGUCUGCCUGAGGACCUUGCCAGAGCACCCUCCUCAUUUUCCUGGGGUCGGAUGUCCCCCGUGGUGAGCAGGACCUCGCCUUGGUCAUGCCAGCAGAAUUGUGCAGCCCUACAAACUCCAGCUCUACCUCUAAAACUGAUUUAUUUAUUUAGUUAAUUUUCAACCUAGUUCUUAAAAAUCCCUCUGGAGUAAGAGGACAUACUAAUCUAUGACAGCUGUGGUGCUGGAUAACCUCUUCUGCACCCUUUGGCACACACAUUUGGUCCUGGAGUGAAGAGGUGAACAAACCCUUGCAGCGUGUGGAUCCUGGUGUAAGAAGCGUGGAAGGACAGAGCCCCUUCACUUUUACAACCACAUAAAUGCGUGCUACUGAGAUAGCCAGGCUCCUCUUUGGCACACCAGAGCGUUUUCCAGAUGACAGCACUUUUUCAAGGCUGUUCCUG